GGAAUCUUCGGCAAUGGACGAAAGUCUGACCGAGCAACGCCGCGUGAGUGAAGAAGGUUUUCGGAUCGUAAAACUCUGUUGUUAGAGAAGAACAAGGAUGAGAGUAAAACGUUCAUCCCUUGACGGUAUCUAACCAGAAAGCCACGGCUAACUACGUGCCAGCAGCCGCGGUAAUACGUAGGUGGCAAGCGUUAUCCGGAUUUAUUGGGCGUAAAGCGAGCGCAGGCGGUUUGAUAAGUCUGAUGUGAAAGCCUUUGGCUUAACCAAAGAAGUGCAUCGGAAACUGUCAGACUUGAGUGCAGAAGAGGACAGUGGAACUCCAUGUGUAGCGGUGGAAUGCGUAGAUAUAUGGAAGAACACCAGUGGCGAAGGCGGCUGUCUGGUCUGCAACUGACGCUGAGGCUCGAAAGCAUGGGUAGCGAACA
rnacentral:rRNA from 1 species